AUAAUGAUACGCCUGCAUAGCCACAGCUCGUGCGCAGAAAGCGCCGCACGCAAUGGAUGCAGCCCGGGCGGAGCCGGGGAGGUGAGAUUCCUGUGC
rnacentral:ncRNA from 1 species